rnacentral:rRNA from 1 species
CUCAUGGUUUCACGGUAUUGCAAUGAGAACAAUUUAAAACCCUUAGCGAGAAUCAAGUGGAGGACAAGUCUGGUGCCAGCACCCGCGGUAAUUCCAGCUCCACUAGCGUAUAUUAAAGUUGUUGCAGUUAAAAAGCUCGUAGUUGAACCUCUGUCUGGGGCUAGUUUUGGCUUUGGUCAGGCUAGUUCUAGGCAUCCGCCUACAAGACUUAGAGGGCAUUCAGUUGUUCACUAGGAGGAGUAGGCAUUUUACUUUGAAAAAAUUAGAGUGUUUAAGGCAGGCAAUCGCCCGCAUAUAUUAGCAUGGAAUAAUAGAAUAGGACACUUUUCCAUUUCGUUGGUUAUUGGAAUCGUGUAAUGAUUAAUAGGGACAGUUGUGGGCAUUUGUAUUUAAUUGUCAGAGGUGAAAUUCUUGGAUUUAUUAAAGACAAACUAACGCGAAAGCAUUUGCCAAGGAUGUUUUCAUUAAUCAAGAACGAAAGUUAGGGGAUCAAAGACGAUCAGAUACCGUCCUAGUCUUAACUAUAAACUAUUCCGACUCAAUGUUUGACUGGCUUAUAUAACCAGUUGAGCGUUGUAUGAGAAAUCAAAGCCUUUAGGUUCUGGGGGGAGUAUGGUUGCAAAGCUGAAACUUAAAGGAAUUGACGGAAGAGCACAACCAGGAGUGGAUUCUGCGGCUUAAUUUGACUCAACACGGGGAAACUUACCAGGUUAAAACAAUAGUGGGAUUGACAGUUUGAGAGCGCUUUCUUGAUUGGUUGGGUGGUGGUGCAUGGCCGUUCUUAGUUGGUGGAGUGAUUUGUCUGCUUAAUUGCGUUAACGAACGAGACCUUAACCUGCUUACUAGACUGGCGAUCAUCAAUCGUUAGCUCUUCUUAGAGGGACUUUGGUUGUUUUAACUCCAAGGAAGUUUGAGGCAAUAACAGGUCUGUGAUGCCCUUAGAUAUCCUGGGCCGCACGCGUCAUACAAUGACUAGUUCAGAAAGUUUUCUCCUGACCCGAAAGGGGAUGGGUAAUCUUGAUAAUACUAGUCGUGUUAGGGAUCGAUCUUUGCAAUUAUAGAUCUUGAACGAGGAAUUCCUAGUAAGCGCGGUUCAUCAGACCGUACUGAUUACGUCCCUGCUCUUUGUACACACCGCCCGUCGCUUCUACUGAGUGGGUGGUCCGGUGAGAUAAUUGAACUUCGCAGGUAACUGAGAGGAAAGAUUAUCAAACCUAUCCACCU